GACGAACGCUGGCGGCGUGCUUAACACAUGCAAGUCGAACGGAAAGGCCCCUUCGGGGGUACUCGAGUGGCGAACAGGUGAGUAACACGUGCGUAACCUGCCCUUGACUUCGGGAUUACUUCAGGAAACUGGGGCUAAUACCGGAUAGGAAUACUUGCUGCAUGGUGGGGGUUGGAAAGCUUCGGCGGUUUUGGGUGGACUCGCGGCUUAUCAGCUUGUUGGUGUGGUAGUGGCUUACCAAGGCUUUGACGGGUAGCCGGCCUGCGUGGGCGACCGGCCACAUUGGGACUGAGAGACGGCCCAGACACCUACGGGAGGCAGCAGUGGGGAAUAUUGCACGAUGGGCGGAAGCCGGAUGCAGCAACGCCGCGGGCGGGAUGACGGUCUUCUGGUUGUAAACCGCUUUCAGCAGGGGCGAAGCUUGUGGUGACGGUACCUGCAGAAGAAGCACCGGCUAACUACGUG
rnacentral:rRNA from 1 species